rnacentral:misc_RNA from 1 species
GCAAACUUGGUCAUUUAGAGGAAGUAAAAGUCGUAACAAGGUUUCCGUAGGUGAACCUGCGGAAGGAUCAUUAAUAAGUUAGCCUGCGUUAAGUGGGUAUUUCUUCUUAAACACGUGCUCAUAUGUGAUUAUUUUGGUGGGUGUGAUAACCUGCCAGUAGUUUUCAUUCUAUUCUUUAAUUGUUUGCUUGUGAAAAAAAUCUAGUGAAUGUGAAUUCAUUAGUACUAAAUAUAAAAACUAUGAACAACGGAUCUCUAGGCUCUUGCAUCGAUGAAGAACGCAGC